AUGAGUUGAGUCCACUCUUUAGUCUUUAGACUAGAGAGUAGAGAGGUGUUUGAAAAUCAAAAUGGAGUAUUCAAAAUUUAUGUUAAUCGAUAAAAACAAAUAAAAUAAAAACAGAGAUGAUGAGACAAUGAUACAGAGCCCAAGACUCCAAGAGUUCCAAAUCACUUUGGUAAUAAAUUCUGCAAAAAAGAAAAGAAAUAUUAUGUAUACUUACUUGUUUACUUGCUUUAAUCAUCGUGCAUUUAUUUCACCUCCUCGCCACCAGUGACAUAUAUCCUGUAGAUGGAGAAAGUGCAGCAAGAUAAAGUAUUUUUUGGGGUUAGAUUUUGUUGUAGGUGCUGUUCUUCUUAUGGGUUAUUAAAAUCCACUAAAAUAACUAAGUACCUGUAAAUAGUUUGGAACAAAACAAAAACACCCUCCUCAAAAUUCCAUCUUUCUUGUGAUCUUGCUGUUUCUCUU
rnacentral:lncRNA from 1 species